GUGAGGAAUAUUGCGCAAUGGAGGCAACUCUGACGCAGCCAUGCCGCGUGCAGGAAGAAGGCGCUACGCGUUGUAAACUGCUUUUAACCGGGAAGAAACCCCAGGACGUGUCCUGGGUUGACGGUACCGGAGGAAUAAGCACCGGCUAACUUCGUGCCAGCAGCCGCGGUAAUACGAAGGGUGCAAGCGUUAUCCGGAUUCAUUGGGUUUAAAGGGUGCGUAGGCGGAGCGUUAAGUCAGUGGUGAAAUCCUGCAGCUUAACUGUAGACUUGCCAUUGAUACUGGCGCUCUUGAGUGCGCUUGAAGUGGGCGGAAUGUGCCGUGUAGCGGUGAAAUGCUUAGAUAUGCCACAGAACACCAAUUGCGAAGGCAGCUCACUAAGGCGAUACUGACGCUGAGGCACGAAAGCAUGGGGAGCAAACAGGAUUAGAAACCCCGGUAGUCC
rnacentral:rRNA from 1 species